rnacentral:misc_RNA from 1 species
AACAAGGCGUACCUGCGGACCUGCGGAAGGAUCAUUACAGAGUUGCAAAACUCCCUAAACCAUUGUGAACGUUACCUAAACCGUUGCUUCGGCGGGCGGCCCGGGUCCUUCCCGGCGCCCCUCGGCCCUCGCGGGCGCCCGCCGGAGGUAAACCAAACUAUUGCAUUGUAUGGCCUCUCUGAGUCUUCUGUACUGAAUAAGUCAAAACUUUUAGCAAUGGAUCUCAGAUCGGAAGAGCAC